UGUAGGCUAUAUUAUAUGGAUUUAAUGUGAAGGUGUAUGCUAUAUUACAUGGAUAUAUUGUGAUGGUGUAAGCUAUAUUACAUGGAUUUAUUGUGAAGGUGUAGACUAUAUUACAUGGAUUUAUUGUGAAGGUGUAGGCUAUAUUACAUGGAUUUAUUGUGAAGGUGUUGACUAUAUUACAUGGAUUUAUUGUGAAGGUGUUGACUAUAUUACAUGGAUUUAUUGUGAAGGUGUAGGCUAUAUUACAUGGAUUUAUUGUGAAGGUGUUGACUAUAUUACAUGGAUUUAUUGUGAAGGUGUAGGCUAUAUUACAUGGAUUUAUUGUGAAGGUGUUGACUAUAUUACAUGGAUUUAUUGUGAAGGUGUAGGCUAUAUUACAUGGAUUUAUUGUGAAGGUGUUGACUAUAUUACAUGGAUUUAUUGUGAAGGUGUAGGCUAUAUUACAUGGAUUUAUUGUGAAGGUGUUGACUAUAUUACAUGGAUUUAUUGUGAAGGUGUUGACUAUAUUACAUGGAUUUAUUGUGAAGGUGUAGGCUAUAUUACAUGGAUUUAUUGUGAAGGUGUAGGCUAUAUUACAUGGAUUUAUUGUGAAGGUGUUGACUAUAUUACAUGGAUUUAUUGUGAAGGUGUAGGCUAUAUUACAUGGAUUUAUUGUGAAGGUGUAGGCUAUAUUACAUGGAUUUAUUGUGAAGGUGUUGACUAUAUUACAUGGAUUUAUUGUGAAGGUGUAGGCUAUAUUACAUGGAUUUAUUGUGAAGGUGUUGACUAUAUUACAUGGAUUUAUU